rnacentral:rRNA from 1 species
AAUUUAAGGAUAUUAAUAAGGGGAGGAAAAGAAAGUAAGAGGGAUUGGGGUAGUAAGGGGGAGGGAAGAGGGAUGAAUUGGAGGGGGGAAGGUGGGGUGGGGUAGGGGGUGGGGAGGGGUGUGGGGUUUGGGAGGGGGGGGUUUGGGGGGAGGUGGGGGAGAGUGGAAGUGGGUGUUGAAGGGGGGGAGGGGGGAGAGAGGGUGGGAGGGGGGUGGGAGGUGGGGGGGGGGGGGGGGGGAGGGAGGGUGGUGAGAGUGGGGUUGGUUGAGAGUGGAGGGGAAAGUGGGUGGUAAAGUGGAGGUAAGAGUGAAUAGGGGGAGGAGAGGGAUAGGGAAGAAGUAGGGUGAGGGAAAGUUGAAAAGAAGUUUGAAGAGAGAGUUGAAGAGUAGGUGAAAGGGUGUGGGAGUAAAGGGGUGGUAGGGGAAAGUUGGAAAGGGGAGAUUGAGGUGUGGGGGGGGGUGGGGGGGGUGGGGGGAGGAGAGAUGGGGGGUGGGAGGGGCGGGGGGAAGGGGGGGUGGGGAGGUGGGAGUGGGGGGGGGGGGGGGGUGGGGGGGUGGGAGUGAGGGAGUUGUGGGGGAGUAGGAGGUGGGGAGGGGUGGAGGGGGUGGGUAAGGUGGGGGGUGGAGGGUGUGGAGGGUGGUGAG